GUGUUGUAUGAGAGGAGAGACAGCUAGCUCUCCUGUGCCAAGGGUGGAGGAGGACCCGACUGACAACAAGCCUGUUGCUUAAGACAUUGAUACCACUUUUUUUU
ensembl:snRNA